GAUGAACGCUGGCGGCGUGCCUAAUACAUGCAAGUCGAGCGAACGGACGAGAAUCUUGCUUCUCUUAUGUUAGCGGCGGACGGGUGAUUAACACGUGGAUAACCUACCUAUAAGACUGGGGUAACUUCGGGAAACCGUAGCUAAUACCGUAUAAUAUUUUGAACCGCAUGGUUCAAAAGUGAAAGGCGAUCUUGCUGGCCCUUAUCGAUGUAUCCGCGCUGCAUUAGCUAGUUGGUAAGGUAACGGCUUACCAAGGCAACGAUGCAUAGCCGACCUGAGAGGGUGAUCGGCCACACUGGAACUGAGACACGGUCCAGACUCCUACGGGAGGCAGCAGUAGGGAAUCUUCCGCAAUGGGCGAAAGCCUGACGGAGCAACGCCGCGUGAGUGAUGAAGGUCUUCGGAUCGUAAAACUCUGUUAUUAGGGAAGAACAUAUGUGUAAGUAACUGUGCACAUCUUGACGGUACCUAAUCAGAAAGCCACGGCUAACUACGUG
rnacentral:rRNA from 1 species